CAGCAGCCGCGGUAAUACGGAGGAGGCUAGCGUUGUUCGGAAUUACUGGGCGUAAAGCGUACGUAGGCGGCUUUGUAAGUUAGAGGUGAAAGCCUGGUGCUCAACACCAGAACUGCCUUUAAGACUGCAUCGCUUGAACGUCGUAGAGGUGAGUGGAAUUCCGAGUGUAGAGGUGAAAUUCGUAGAUAUUCGGAAGAACACCAGUGGCGAAGGCGGCUCACUGGACGACUGUUGACGCUGAGGUACGAAAGCGUGGGGAGCAAACAGGAUUAGAUACCCGCGUAGUCCCUGUCUCUUAUAC
rnacentral:rRNA from 1 species